rnacentral:rRNA from 1 species
AUACGUAGGGGGCUAGCGUUGUCCGGAAUUACUGGGCGUAAAGGGCGUGUAGGCGGUCGAGCAAGUCAAGUGUGAAAAGCCCUGGCUUAACCGAGGCAUUGCACAUGAAACUGCAUGGCUUGAGUGCAGGAGAGGGAAGUGGAAUUCCUAGUGUAGCGGUGAAAUGCGUAGAUAUUAGGAGGAACACCAGUGGCGAAGGCGACUUCCUGGACUGUAACUGACGCUGAGGCGCGAAAGCGUGGGUAGCAAACAGGAUGAGAUACCCUGGUAGUCCACGCCGUAAACGAUGGGUACUAGGUGUGGGUAGUUCACACUAUCCGUGCCGCAGCAAACGCAAUAAGUACCCCGCCUGGGGAGUACGGCCGCAAGGUUGAA